rnacentral:rRNA from 1 species
UGAGGAAUAUUGGUCAAUGGGCGAGAGCCUGAACCAGCCAAGUAGCGUGCAGGAUGACGGCCCUAUGGGUUUUAAACUGCUUUUAUAUGGGAAUAAAGUGAGGGACGUGUCCCUUAUUGCAUGUACCAUACGAACAAGGACCGGCUAAUUCCGUUCCAGCAGCCGCGGUAUUACGGAAGGUCCAGGCGUUAUCCGGAUUUAAUGGGUUUAAAGGGAGCGUAGGCUGUUUGUUAAGCGUGUUGUGAAAUGUAAGAGCUCAACUUUUAGAUUGCAGCGCGAACUGGCAGACUUGAGUGCGCACAACGUAGGCGGAAUUCAUGGUGUAUCGGUGAAAUGCUUAGAUAUCAUGACGAACUCCGAUUGCGAAGGCAGCUUACGGGAGCGCAACUGACGCUAAAGCUCGAAGGUGCGGGUAUCGAACAGG